GACGAACGCUGGCGGCGUGCUUAACACAUGCAAGUCGAACGAAGUGGCGAACGGGUGUGUAAUACGCGGGUUACCUGCCCUCCUUUUUGGGAUAAGCCUUGGAAACGGGGCCUAUUACCGAACAUAGGGGGAUGGGCUCGCGGCCUAUCAGCUUGUUGGUGGGGUGAUGGCCUACCAAGGCGGCGACGGGUAGCCGGGCUGAGAGGGUGACCGGCCACAUUGGGACGGGGAGACGGCCCAGGGUCGUAGGGGAGGGGGCAGUGGGGGAAAUUGCACAAUGGGCGAAGGCCUGAUGCAGCGGCGCCGCGUGGGGGAUGAGGGCGUUAGGGUUGUAGACCUCUUUCGCUAUCGAGCGGGUAGGUGGAGAAGAAGCGCCGGCUAACUACGUGCCAGCAGCCGCGGUAAUUC
rnacentral:rRNA from 1 species